rnacentral:piRNA from 1 species
UUGUAAGCUGACUACCUUCUGGAGC